rnacentral:rRNA from 1 species
CCUACGGGUGGCAGCAGUGGGGAAUAUUGGACAAUGGGGGAAACCCUGAUGCAGCAACGCCGCGUGAGUGAAGAAGUAUUUCGGUAUGUAAAGCUCUAUCAGCAGGGAAGAAGAUGACGGUACCUGAGUAAGAAGCCCCGGCUAACUACGUGCCAGCAGCCGCGGUAAUACGUAGGGGGCAAGCGUUAUCCGGAUUUACUGGGUGUAAAGGGAGCGUAGACGGCUGAGCAAGUCUGAAGUGAAAGGCCGGGGCCCAACCCCGGGACUGCUUUGGAAACUGUUUAGCUGGAGUGCUGGAGAGGCAAGCGGAAUUCCUAGUGUAGCGGUGAAAUGCGUAGAUAUUAGGAAGAACACCAGUGGCGAAGGCGGCUUACUGGACAGUAACUGACGUUGAGGCUCGAAAGCGUGGGGAGCAAACAGGAUUAGAUACCCGGGUAGUC